rnacentral:rRNA from 1 species
AUUGAACGCUGGCGGCAUGCUUUACACAUGCAAGUCGAACGGUAACAGGGAGCUUGCUCCGCUGACGAGUGGCGAACGGGUGAGUAAUGCGUCGGAACGUGCCGAGUAGUGGGGGAUAACGCAUCGAAAGGUGUGCUAAUACCGCAUACGUACUGAGGUAGAAAGUGGGGGACCUUCGGGCCUCACGCUAUUCGAGCGGCCGACGUCUGAUUAGCUAGUUGGUGAGGUAAAGGCUCACCAAGGCGACGAUCAGUAGCGGGUCUGAGAGGUUGAUCCGCCACACUGGGACUGGGACACGGCCCAGACUCCGACGGGAGGCAGCAGUGGGGAAUUUUGGACAAUGGGCGCAAGCCUGAUCCAGCCAUGCCGCGUGUCUGAAGAAGGCCUUCGGGUUGUAAAGGACUUUUGUCCGGGAGCAAAUGCCUGGUGUUAAUAGCACUGGGAGCUGAGAGUACCGGAAGAAUAAGCACCGGCUAACUACGUGCCAGCCGCCGCUGUAACAC